rnacentral:lncRNA from 1 species
AUGGGAGGGCGGUCAUAUUUCUUGAGUGCCUGUGACACACUGCAAAACGAUGGGAUAGCAAUGGGCACCUCCUACUUGCUGUCCCGUCUUGGAAGAGCGAUCACAGCAGCGUGCUGUGAGAAGCUGGAGCCCAUUGAUUACUGGAUGUUUCAAUCUGCUGAAAAGAAGGGGCUGUCCCUGAACCAAUGAAACAAUAAGAAGGAAGGGAGAGUGACAAGCUGUGGGGCAAUCUUUGCUCUCAGGGCCCGGGCACUUUCCUUUCACUGGUUCAGCAGAGAUCAACAAGAAGAGGCUGAGUCUGAGAAGUUAACCAUGCAUGGUUCAAGCCACCUGGCAAUGAGCUCUGCAGGCAUAGGAGGCAACCUUUCUGCCUUUAUCAUGAACCUGAGAGCAGUAUAACCAUCUGGCUGGUUAUAAUUUAACAGAAACCCCAUUUUUUAUCUUGCUAUGGUGGUGUGCUUUCUUUUAAAUGUCACCUGUAGAGUUUCCCAAUGAGUGGAGAAGUUUUGCUUUGUAUUUCUUACAGAUACUGACAAAAACUAGUCCACUGGAUUACCAUAAACCUAGCCAUAUUCUUUCUUAGAGGCAUGAGCAAGCUGAAAAGAGUUUGCAGUAACUUUUAUACUUUAAUCAAAAUAUUUUUCAGUAUAUAUUUGUCAUUUUUAACCAGUAGACUCAUUGACUGGUUAUUUUAUUAAUGUUGAAAUCUUACAAUUUUAGAGGAGUUAUUAAGCAAAUAAAUUAAUCUUCAGCUUUCCCA